rnacentral:lncRNA from 1 species
GACUACUGGUAGUCACUUAUGAGAGUUAAUGCUUUGUUGCAUUGUUGAUUGGCCCUUGGCUGUUACACAUUCUGAUCAUUUAGAGAAGAAGCUGCCAAACGUAAAGGAAAGGGAUGGAACCAAAAUGGGAAACUCUCUUUACAAACAUCAAAUUCAUAUCCACUUAGGUCUUUGUCAUGUCUGUAAGCUUAAAAAUGAUAGUAUGCACUAUGCAAUUGGCAAUUGUUAAUAUCGUACCUUUUCUGCGUAACAAUGGACAAUUUGACCUGAUGUUCUGCAAGCAGUAAGACCUUGAGGAGAUGAAACAGAAGCAAUUAUUGAAUGAGUCUCAGCAAGACACCAAGAAACAACAUUUGCAGUGUGAGUCUCACAUUGGAUGAGAUAUGGUCUGAAAACGAGUUCAUAAGUUUGAGACAUCUCUCACCUUACAAGCUGGUUUUAGAGUUGAGUUAGGCCAAGCCCAAAUUGAAGAUAGUGAACCCAUAAGGGAAAAAGAUGCAACUAUUGCAGUGAACCUAGAAGGACAAGUAGUUUCUACAUCUGCACCUAUGCCAAAGCUGAACGACUCAGUCGAAUGUUUAAACAAUGUAGCUGCUUCUAAAUGUGCUUUUGGGUUAACUGUAAUAGCUGUGCUUCUGGUUUCACUUCAUGCUGACCUCCUAGUGGAUCAUUUCUAAUACCAAUUAUUACAAAAAGGAACAAUGGUUAUGAUUGUAAGCAAUUAUUAUUUACUUUACCUUUAAUAUUUACAAAAUAGCUACUUAGAAUUAUUUCUAAUUUACCUAUUUUUUAAUUCACUUCAAAUCUAGUACAUGGCAUUUGUGGCGAUCAUGCAACAGCUUUGACUGUGAGCUGGGGCAGAGCAUGUUACAUCAGAUAGCAAACCUCGUAAUAUCAAGGUUUUAUUUUGAGUUUUGCCUAUUCAAAUUAACCUUGUCUAUUAAACGUUUGGACGUCAUUAAUCAAUUUCCAGUGGAUACAUAAAAUUGUAGUAGCCAACUCUAAAGAUGGAUGUCUGUAAAAAUUUGGGCAACAUCUGAAAUUGAAAUGCAGUGUUUUGACAAAAUAAC